rnacentral:rRNA from 1 species
GGUUGAUCCUGCCAGUAGUCAUACGCUUGUCUCAAAGAUUAAGCCAUGCAUGUCUAAGUAUAAACGCUUCUAUACUGUGAAACUGCGAAUGGCUCAUUAAAUCAGUUUUAGUUUAUUUGAUGGUUGAUUACUACUUGGAUAACCGUAGUAAUUCUAGAGCUAAUACAUGCAUAAAAUCCCGACUUCUGGAAGGGAUGUAUUUAUUAGAUGGAAACCAAUGCGGGGCAACCCGGAUGUUUUGGUGAAUCAUGAUAACUUUGCGGAUCGCAUGCUUCGGCGGCGAUGCAUCAUU